UACGUAGGGCGCAAGCGUUGUCCGGAAUUAUUGGGCGUAAAGAGCUCGUAGGCGGUUUGUCGCGUCUGCUGUGAAAGCCCCGGGCUCAACCCGGGAACUGCAUCCGAAACCAUCUUGCUAGAGUAUGAGAGAGGGAAGCGGAAUUCCUGGUGUAGAGGUGAAAUUCGUAGAUAUCAGGAGGAACACCGGCGGCGAAGGCGGCUUCCUGGCUCAUUACUGACGUUCAGGUACGAAAGCGUGGGUAGCAAACAGG
rnacentral:rRNA from 1 species